rnacentral:misc_RNA from 1 species
CUCAACUCAACUAAGCCUUAAUCCGAAGAAUUUAGGGUCAGCAAGGGAAUACUACAGAAUGAGAGGAUUUCUUUUCUGUGUCGAGAGGACCCAUACUUGGUAUACUAAGUUAGCUAAGAGGAGCACGGUUGUUUGUGUAACUGAAUAAAUCUGCUUGAUUUAGGUUUUAUUGAUGCUAGCUUGAUGUAGGUAUGCUAGGAAGAUACUCAAGUGAAAGAAUUCUCGUGGUUUGUCCAUAUAGCAGUUUGAUGCCUUGCAGAUUGCACUCUUGACAGCAAGAUCAUUUUAAAAUUGAUUAUGUAUAAACAUAAUAUGACUGGCAUGUAGGGGUCAGUGUUCACAUGCUUUUCUAAAUGAUGUUGAUUCUUGACCGUCGCAAUAAUUCAUUUAACAUGCUUUUUAUUGUGGCAACAUAACACUAUCUAGAUAUGCAUUUGUUCAUAAGGC